AGAGUUUGAUCCUGGCUCAGAUCGAACGUUAGCGGGAGGCUUAACACAUGCAAGUCUCGAGCGAGAACAGUCCUUCGGGGCUUAGUACAGCGGCGGACGGGUGAGUAACACGUGGAUAAUCUGCCCUUUGGCGGGGGACAACAGCUCGAAAGGGUUGCUAAUACCGCAUAAGUCUAGUCAGCCUUUGGGUUGAUUAGGGAAAGAUGGCCUCUUCUUGAAAGCUAUCACCGAAGGAUGAGUCCGCGUAGCAUCAGCUAGUUGGUGGGGUAAUGGCCUACCAAGGCUAAGACGCUUAGCUGGUCUGAGAGGAUGAUCAGCCACACUGGGACUGAGAUACGGCCCAGACUCCUACGGGAGGCAGCAGUGGGGAAUAUUGGACAAUGGGCGAAAGCCUGAUCCAGCAAUGCCGCGUGUGUGAAGAAGGCCUGAGGGUUGUAAAGCACUUUCAGUAGGGAGGAAAAGUUAGUAUUUAAUAAAUGCUAGCUGUGACGUUACUCGCAGAAGAAGCACCGGCUAACUUCGUGCCAGCAGCCGCGGUAAUACGAGGGGUGCAAGCGUUAAUCGGAAUUACUGGGCGUAAAGCGUUCGUAGGCGGUUAUUUAAGCAAGAUGUGAAAGGCGCCCAGGGCUCAACCUUGGAACUGCAUUUUGAACUGGGUAACUAGAGUACAGUAGAGGGUGGUGGAAUUUCCAGUGUAGCGGUGAAAUGCGUAGAGAUUGGAAGGAACAUUAGUGGCGAAGGCGGCCACCUGGACAGAUACUGACGCUGAGGAACGGAAAGCGUGGGGAGCGAACAGGAUUAGAUCCCCUGGUAGUCCACGCCGUAAACGAUGUCUACUAGCCGUUGGAAGACUUGAUCUUUUAGUGGCGGGCGCAGCUAACGCAAUAAGUUGACCGCCUGGGGAGUACGGCCGCAAGGUUAAAACUCAAAUGGAUUGACGGGGGCCCGCACAAGCGGUGGAGCAUGUGGUUUAAUUCGAUGCAACGCGAAGAACCUUACCAGGUCUUGACAUCCCGAGAAUUUGCUAGAGGUAGUUUAGUGCCUUCGGGAACUCGGUGACAGGUGCUGCAUGGCUGUCGUCAGCUCGUGUCGUGAGAUGUUGGGUUAAGUCCCGUAACGAGCGCAACCCUUGUCCUUAGUUGCCAGCACGUAAUGGUGGGAACUCUAAGGAGACUGCCGGUGACAAUCCGGAGGAAGGUGGGGACGACGUCAAGACUUCAUGGCCCUUACGAGUAGGGCUACACAGGUGCUACAAUGGCCGGUACAGAGGGUUGCCAAGCCGCAAGGUGGAGCUAAUCCCAGAAAACCGGUCGUAGUCCGGAUUGGAGUCUGCAACUCGACUCCAUGAAGUCGGAAUCGCUAGUAAUCGCGAAUCAGAACGUCGCGGUGAAUACGUUCCCGGGCCUUGUACACACCGCCCGUCACACCAUGGGAGUGGAUUGCACCAGAAGUAGGUAGCUUAACCUUCGGGAGGGCGCUUACCACGGUGUGCUUCAUGACUGGGGUGAAGUCGUAACAAGGUAGCC
rnacentral:rRNA from 1 species